AUGGAGGAGGAGAAGAAGAUGAAGCUCUGCUUCUCCAUCCCCUCGAAGCCCAAGGUCAAGCCCGCCACGCCCCCCGCCGCCUUCUCCGUCGCCGCCGUGGCCCCCGGCCCCGCCCCGCGGUUCGUCACCGUGUUCGAUCCCUCGGAAACCCUGACCCCAGCGCCCGCCGUCAUCGCGCCCCUUCCCGACUCCCGCAAACCCUCCCCAGCCGCUGCCGCGCCGGCCGCGCCCGUCGUCAUCGCGCCCCUUCCCAACACGCGCAGGCUCGCCGAGGCCCCCGCCUUCGUGCUCGGCGCCUCCGACAGCCGCUCCUCCAGCGCAGCCUACGGCCUCACCGUCCGCAAUACGGAUUCGAAGAGGAAGCUUGAGCCCCAGGACGAUGCCGCUAGUCAGCAGCCGCCGCCUCCAGGCCCCAGCGGCGAGGACCUUAUGCUGCGGCGGUUCAAGGAGGACAUGGCCGUUCUCCCGGAGAUCCAAGGCACGGACGAGUAUGACGAGGUGCCUGUGGAGGGCUUCGGCGCUGCUCUCCUCGCUGGCUAUGGCUGGAAGGAAGGGGAUCCUAUCGGCAAGAAGUACAAGGGCAUGGGGGAUGUCAAGGGUUCGUGA
rnacentral:rRNA from 1 species